UACGUAGGGUGCAAGCGUUGUCCGGAAUUAUUGGGCGUAAAGAGCUCGUAGGCGGUUUGUUGCGUCGGCUGUGAAAUCCCGAGGCUCAACCUCGGGUCUGCAGUCGAUACGAGCAAACUAGAGUGUUGCAGGGGAGACUGGAAUUCCUGGUGUAGCGGUGAAAUGCGUAGAUAUCGAGAGGAACACCUGCGGCGAAGGCGGGUUGCUGGGCUGAUACUGACGCUGAGGAGCGAAAGCGUGGGGAGCGAACAGG
rnacentral:rRNA from 1 species